rnacentral:ncRNA from 2 species
AGCUCGGUCUGAGGCCCCUCAGUAAUU